CACGUAGGGCGCGAGCGUUGUCCGGAAUUAUUGGGCGUAAAGAGCUCGUUAGGCGGCCUGUUGCGUCCGCUGUGAAAGCCCGGGGCUUAACCCCGGGUCUGCAGUGGAUACGGGCGGACUGGAGUUCGGCAGGGGAGACUGGAAUUCCUGGUGUAGCGGUGAAAUGCGCAGAUAUCAGGAGGAACACCAUGGCGAAGGCAGGCUCGCUGGGACGGUACUGACGCUGAGGCGCGAAAGCGUGGGGAGCAAACAGG
rnacentral:rRNA from 1 species